GUGGUAGGUGCCUUUGAACGGGGUAUGGUGGUAGGUGCCUUUGAACGGGGUAUGGUAGUAGGUGCCUUUGAACAGGGUAUGGUAGUAGGUGCCUUUGAACAGGGUAUGGUAGUAGGUGCCUUUGAACGGGGUAUGGUGGUAGGUGCCUUUGAACGGGGUAUGGUAGUAGGUGCCUUUGAACAGGGGUAUGGUAGUAGGUGCCUUUGAACAGGGUAUGGUAGUAGGUGCCUUUGAACAGGGUAUGGUGGUAGGUGCCUUUGAACAGGGUAUGGUGGUAGGUGCCUUUGAACAGGGUAUGGUGGUAGGUGCCUUUGAACGGG
ensembl:lncRNA